AGAUUAGAAAGCUGAUGUGUCAU
rnacentral:siRNA from 1 species